CGAGGCGGCCUCCCGAUGCUGCCCGAGCGAUCUCGUCACGCAGCGCUGAGCUCGCGGGGCGCAUGCGCCUCUCGGGGGCAUCCCUCCCCGAGCCGCCCGCUCCGCGUGCCCCCACCUCAAAGGCCGGGCGCGAGCCGACGGCCGGCUCCGCUCCCCCGCCGCCGGGCGGAGCUGCGGCUCCCUCCGCUCCCUUCGGGUAGCCCACCGAGGCCGGCAGCCCCGCGCUCGCAACGGGCAGAUACUGGCCAGCAAGGACUCUCCAUCUUGCACGAGGAACGGCGAUGACUGCGGUGUCUGGGGACCGAAGGAAGGGUUAGGGAAUUCUGUGCCCCGGCAACCUUCUGGAGAGAUCUGGAAAGGCAGAGAUAACGAAAAUAUGUUUUCCUUUGGGUUCUAAUUCCUGCCGACUCCAGAGAUCAAUUUAGAAAUUGAAACGGCUUAGCCGACAACUCGGAUUCCAAAACCCAUGGGGACAAGGGAAUGGCUUACACUGGUAGAAGAGUAAAAGAGUUGCUAGAGAGGUUUCCCGUUUGUGAUGUAGAGCCAUCAGUGAACUCGUGCUGAGGUGGAUAAGGAGAAAUUAAGAAAAAAUGAACUGUCAUUAACAACCUUAAACUUGCUAUCCUAGCAACCUUUUGUAUAUGGGGGGGGGGGGGGGGGGGGAAGUGCGACAGAUCAGAAAUAUAUUAAAAAUCUAAACAUCCAGAGCAAGGCCAAGAGCUCACGCAGCACGAGCAAGGGAAGGAAACUGCAUUGGGAUGAUCCAGAAAGUAACACGCAGCUUUCCAAAGGACAUGGCCAACUGCAGAUUGCCUUUGCUUGGAGAAUCUCAGCUACAGCAAGGUUCAGAAAGGAAAUUGUUCAGGAAGACAUCUGAAAACUGAAGGUUCCUCUGAUUAGUCUUCCCUGUCAGCUGGGAAAAUAGAGAUGUAUAGACAUAAGUAAGUCCAGCCAGUAACUCAAUAAUGGCAUUGGUACAGUCAUCACAAACACUUCUGAGACAGAAUGUCCACAAACUGGCAGAAAAUCAGGCUAAAAUAAAUGGUCUGUUUCAUUACUA